UGAGCAAGGUGAAGGUGAAGCAGGGACUGGCUGAGCAGGGGAUGUACAGAGAGCAAGGGGACAGCCAUCUUGA